ACGGCCAUACCACAUUGAUAACACCGGUUGUCGUCCGAUCACCGAAGUUAAGCAAUGUCGGGCCUGGUCAGUACUUGGGAGGGUGACCACCUGGGAAUACAGAGUGCUGUAGGCU
rnacentral:rRNA from 1 species